rnacentral:tRNA from 1 species
GAGGGUGUAGCUCAGUGGUAGAGUGUGUGCUUAGCAUGCACGAGGUCCUGGGUUCCAUCCCCAGUACCUCCA